rnacentral:rRNA from 1 species
CAGUCGCCGCGGGAAUACGUAGGGUGCAAGCGUUAAUCGGAAUUACUGGGCGUAAAGCGUGCGCAGGCGGUUAUAUAAGACAGAUGUGAAAUCCCCGGGCUCAACCUGGGAACUGCAUUUGUGACUGUAUAGCUAGAGUACGGCAGAGGGGGAUGGAAUUCCGCGUGUAGCAGUGAAAUGCGUAGAUAUGCGGAGGAACACCGAUGGCGAAGGCAAUCCCCUGGGCCUGUACUGACGCUCAUGCGCGAAAGCGUGGGGAGCAAACAGGAUUAGAUACCCCAGUAGUCCCUGUCUCUUAUAC